GGUUGCUUCGUUCUGGAUUAGAAAGCACAGUGGUUGGUGCACUGAAUGCUUUGCUUGUGCUUGAAAGUGAUGAUGCAACAAGUGCUGAAGCAAUGGCAGAAAGUGGUGCAAUUGAGGCACUGUUGGAACUUCUGAGAAGCCAUCAAUGCGAGGAAACUGCCGCUAGACUACUGGAAGUACUUCUUAAUAACGUGAAGAUCAGAGAAACCAAGGUUACUAAGUCAGCAAUUGUACCAUUAUCCCAGUAUCUCUUGGAUCCUCAAACUCAAGCUCAACAGCC
rnacentral:misc_RNA from 1 species